GUGUUUGCUUCAGCAGCACAUAUACUAAAAUUGGAACCAUACAGAGAAGAUUAGCAUGGCCCCUGUGCAAGGAUGACACGCAAAUUCGUGAAGCGGUCCAUGUUUUU
rnacentral:snRNA from 1 species